rnacentral:tRNA from 1 species
GCCGACGUGGUGGAAUUGGUAGACACGCUAUCUUGAGGGGGUAGUGGCGCAAGCCGUGACGGUUCGAGUCCGUCCGUCGGCACCA